AUUGAACGCUGGCGGCAGGCCUAACACAUGCAAGUCGAACGAGUGGCGGAUGGGUGAGUAAUGUCUUGGAAACUGCCUGAUGGAGGGGGAUAACUACUGGAAACGGUAGCUAAUACCGCAUACCAUCUGAUGUGCCCAGAUGGGAUUAACUAGUAGGUGGGGUAACGGCUCACCUAGGCGACGAUACCUAGCUGGUCUGAGAGGAUGACCAUCCACACUUCAGCUGAGACACGGUCCAGACUCCUACGGGAGGCAGCAGUGGGGAAUAUUGCAGAAUGGGCGCAAGCCUGAUGCAGCCAUGCCGCGUGUAUGAAGAAGGCCUUCGGGUUGUAAAGUACUUUCAGCGAGGAGGCGUUACCCGCAGAAGAAGCACCGGCUAACUCCGUGCCAGCAGCCGCGGUAAUUC
rnacentral:rRNA from 1 species